rnacentral:rRNA from 1 species
UACGUAGGGUGCGAGCGUUUGUCCGGAAUUAUUGGGCGUAAAGAGCUCGUAGGCGGUCUGUCGCGUCGGUCGUGAAAACUUGGGGCUUAACCCUGAGCUUGCGGUCGAUACGGGCAUGACUGGAGUUCGGCAGGGGAGACUGGAAUUCCUGGUGUAGCGGUGAAAUGCGCAGAUAUCAGGAGGAACACCGGUGGCGAAGGCGGGUCUCUGGGCCGAUACUGACGCUGAGGAGCGAAAGCGUGGGGGAGCAAACAGG